UUGAGAGUUUGAAUCCUGGCUCAGGAUGAACGCUGGCGGUAUGCUUAACACAUGCAAGUCGAACGGUCUCUUCGGAGAUAGUGGCGGACGGGUGAGUAACGCGUGAGAAUCUGGCUUCAGGUCUGGGACAACAGUUGGAAACGACUGCUAAUACCGGAUGUGCCCUUGGGUGAAAGGUUUACUGCCUGAAGAUGAGCUCGCGUCCGAUUAGCUAGUUGGUGUGGUAAGAGCGCACCAAGGCUGCGAUCGGUAGCUGGUCUGAGAGGAUGAUCAGCCACACUGGAACUGAGACACGGUCCAGACUCCUACGGGAGGCAGCAGUGGGGAAUUUUCCGCAAUGGGCGAAAGCCUGACGGAGCAAUACCGCGUGAGGGAGGAGAGGUUCUUGGAUUGUAAACCUCUUUCUCAGGGAAUAAGAAUGAAGGUACCUGAGGAAUAAGCAUCGGCUAACUCCGUGCCAGCAGCCGCGGUAAUACGGAGGAUGCAAGCGUUAUCCGGAAUGAUUGGGCGUAAAGCGUCCGCAGGUGGUCGUUCAAGUCUGCUGUCAAAGCGUCUGGCUUAACUAGAUAAAGGCAGUGGAAACUGAAGGACUAGAGUGUGGUAGGGGUAGAGGGAAUUCCCAGUGUAGCGGUGAAAUGCGUAGAGAUUGGGAAGAACACCGGUGGCGAAAGCGCUCUGCUGGACCACAACUGACACUCAUGGACGAAAGCUAGGGGAGCGAAUGGGAUUAGAUACCCCAGUAGUCCUAGCCGUAAACGAUGGAUACUAGGCGUUACGUGUAUCGACCCACGUAGUGCCGUAGCCAACGCGUUAAGUAUCCCGCCUGGGGAGUACGCACGCAAGUGUGAAACUCAAAGGAAUUGACGGGGGCCCGCACAAGCGGUGGAGUAUGUGGUUUAAUUCGAUGCAACGCAGAGAGAACCUUACCAGGGCUUGACAUGUCCGGAAUUUCCGGUGAAAGGCUGAGUGCCUUCGGGAGCCGCGAACACAGGUGGUGCAUGGCUGUCGUCAGCUCGUGUCGUGAGAUGUUGGGUUAAGUCCCGCAACGAGCGCAACCCUCGUACUUAGUUGCCAUCAUUAAGUUGGGAACUCUAAGAAGACUGCCGGUGACAAACCGGAGGAAGGUGGGGAUGACGUCAAGUCAGCAUGCCCCUUACGUCCUGGGCUACACACGUACUACAAUGCUGUGGACAAAGGGCAGCAAGCUAGCAAUAGCAAGCAAAUCCCAAAACCACGGCUCAGUUCAGAUCGCAGGCUGCAACUCGCCUGCGUGAAGGUGGAAUCGCUAGUAAUUGCAGGUCAGCAUACUGCAGUGAAUUCGUUCCCGGGCCUUGUACACACCGCCCGUCACACCAUGGAAGCUGGUCACGCCCGAAGUCGUUACUCUAACUUCUCGGAGAGGAGGAUGCCGAAGGCAGGACUGGUGACUGGGGUGAAGUCGUAACAAGGUAGCCGUACCGGAAGGUGUGGCUGGAUCACCUCCUUUUCAGGGAGACCAACUCAAGUCAUGAAGGGUAAAGGCAAAAGGAUAAAGGAUGAAAAUAGAGAUUUCAGACUUUAUACUUGAUACUUCAGACUUGUAGACAUCCCAGGUCGUGCGAGGACAAGAAAAAGGCUUUCAAACUAUAACUGGUUCGUUCUCAAUGCAACUAUUGCCAUCAAAGCAAUAAUCUACCGGAGAAAACUUCAGCAACUUGCAUUUCACAAAGCAAGACUGCUGGAUAUAAAUCCAGCCAGAACCUUGAAAACUGCAUAGUAACGCGAUAGAGAUAAUGGCUAAUAGCUAAGGGCUAAUGGCUAAUUGAGUAAAGACGAUUAGCAUUGAGCAAUGAGCAAUUUAGCAUUGGAGGAAAUGUAAGUUGAUUCAAGCUUACCAAGGCCUUAAUUGGUGGAAUACCUUAGGC
rnacentral:rRNA from 1 species